rnacentral:rRNA from 1 species
AUUGAACGCUGGCGGCAUGCCUUACACAUGCAAGUCGAACGGCAGCACGGGAGCAAUCCUGGUGGCGAGUGGCGAACGGGUGAGUAAUAUAUCGGAACGUGCCCAGUAGUGGGGGAUAACUGCUCGAAAGAGCAGCUAAUACCGCAUACGACCGGAGGGUGAAAGGGGGGGAUCGCAAGACCUCUCGCUAUUGGAGCGGCCGAUAUCAGAUUAGCUAGUUGGUGGGGUAAAGGCCUACCAAGGCAACGAUCUGUAGUUGGUCUGAGAGGACGACCAGCCACACUGGGACUGAGACACGGCCCAGACUCCUACGGGAGGCAGCAGUGGGGAAUUUUGGACAAUGGGCGCAAGCCUGAUCCAGCAAUGCCGCGUGCAGGAAGAAGGCCUUCGGGUUGUAAACUGCCUUUGUCAGGGAAGAAAUCCUCUAGGUUAAUACCCUUGGGGGGAUGACGGUACCUGAAGAAUAAGCACCGGCUAACUACGUGCCAGCAGCCGCCGUAACAC